rnacentral:tRNA from 1 species
GGGCCUGUAGCUCAGGUGGUGAGAGCGCACGCCUGAUAAGCGUGAGGUCGGAAGUUCAACUCUUCCCAGGCCCA